AGAGUUUGAUCCUGGCUCAGGACAAACGCUGGCGGCGUGCAUAAAACAUGCAAGUCGGACGGACAGCAGCAAUGUUGUCAGUGGCGGACGGCUGAGUAACACGUAAGUGACCUACCCUUAAGUGGGGAAUAACUGCUCGAAAGAGUGGCUAAUACCGCAUGAGCUCGCCGGAUCAUACUGGCGAGGAAAGCAGCGAUGCGCUUAGGGAUGGGCUUGCGGCCGAUUAGCUAGUUGGAGGGGUAACGGCCCACCAAGGCGAUGAUCGGUAGCUGGUCUGAGAGGAUGAUCAGCCAGACUGGGACUGCGACACGGCCCAGACUCCUACGGGAGGCAGCAGUUAGGAAUUUUGCGCAAUGGACGAAAGUCUGACGCAGCAACGCCGCGUGGAGGAAGAAGGUCUUCGGAUCGUAAACUCCUUUUCUGAAGGAAGAUAAUGACGGUACCUCAGGAAUAAGCCCCGGCUAACUACGUGCCAGCAGCCGCGGUAAUACGUAGGGGGCGAGCGUUGUCCGGAUUUACUGGGCGUAAAGAGCGCGUAGGCGGUCUUUCAAGUCGUGCGUGAAAUACCUCGGCUCAACCGGGGCACGUCGUGCGAUACUGGGGGACUUGAGGUCGGAAGAGGGAAGUGGAAUUCCGGGUGUAGUGGUGGAAUGCGUAGAUAUCCGGAGGAACACCAGUGGCGAAGGCGGCUUCCUGGUCCGAUCCUGACGCUGAGGCGCGAAAGCGUGGGGAGCGAACUGAAUUAGAUACUCAGGUAGUCCACGCUGUAAACAAUGGGUGCUAGGUGUCGGGGGUAUCGACCCCUCCGUGCGGAGCUAACGCAUUAAGCACCCCGCCUGGGGGAGUACGCGCAAGCUAAACUCAAGGAUGACGAUCU
rnacentral:rRNA from 1 species